GAGUUUGAUCAUGGCUCAGGAUGAACGCUGGCGGCGUGCUUAACACAUGCAAGUCGAACGAACCUUCGGGUUAGUGGCGGACGGGUGAGUAACGCGUGAGAAUCUGCCCUCAGGAGGGGGAUAACGGCUGGAAACGGCCGCUAAUACCCCAUAUGCCGCGAGGUGAAAUGAAUUUCGCCUGAGGAUGAGCUCGCGUCUGAUUAGCUAGUUGGUGUAGGUAAUGGCUCACCAAGGCAUCGAUCAGUAGCUGGUCUGAGAGGAUGAUCAGCCACACUGGGACUGAGACACGGCCCAGACUCCUACGGGAGGCAGCAGUGGGGAAUUUUCCGCAAUGGGCGCAAGCCUGACGGAGCAACGCCGCGUGAGGGAUGAAGGCCUCUGGGCUGUAAACCUCUUUUAUCAAGGAAGAAGAUCUGACGGUACUUGAUGAAUAAGCCACGGCUAAUUCCGUGCCAGCAGCCGCGGUAAUACGGGAGUGGCAAGCGUUAUCCGGAAUUAUUGGGCGUAAAGCGUCCGCAGGCGGCCCUUCAAGUCUGCUGUUAAAACGUGGAGCUUAACUCCAUCAUGGCAGUGGAAACCGUUGGGCUUGAGUGUGGUAGGGGCAGAGGGAAUUCCCGGUGUAGCGGUGAAAUGCGUAGAUAUCGGGAAGAACACCAGUGGCGAAGGCGCUCUGCUGGGCCAUCACUGACGCUCAUGGACGAAAGCCAGGGGAGCGAAAGGGAUUAGAUACCCCUGUAGUCCUGGCCGUAAACGAUGAACACUAGGUGUCGGGGGAAUCGACCCCUUCGGUGUCGUAGCCAACGCGUUAAGUGUUCCGCCUGGGGAGUACGCACGCAAGUGUGAAACUCAAAGGAAUUGACGGGGGCCCGCACAAGCGGUGGAGUAUGUGGUUUAAUUCGAUGCAACGCGAAGAACCUUACCAGGGUUUGACAUCCUGCGAAUCUCUUGGAAACGAGAGAGUGCCUUCGGGAGCGCAGUGACAGGUGGUGCAUGGCUGUCGUCAGCUCGUAUCGUGAGAUGUUGGGUUAAGUCCCGCAACGAGCGCAACCCACGUCUUUAGUUGCCAGCAUUUAGUUGGGCACUCUAGAGAGACCGCCGGUGAUAAACCGGAGGAAGGUGUGGAUGACCUCAAGUCAUCAUGCCCCUUACAUCCUGGGCUACACACGUACUACAAUGCUACGGACAAAGGGCAGCAAGUUCGCGAGGACAAGCAAAUCCCAUAAACCGUGGCUCAGUUCAGAUCGUAGGCUGCAACUCGCCUACGUGAAGUAGGAAUCGCUAGUAAUCGCAGGUCAGCAUACUGCGGUGAAUACGUUCCCGGGCCUUGUACACACCGCCCGUCACACCAUGGAAGUUGGCCACGCCCGAAGCCGUUACUCCAACCCUUGUGGAGGAGGACGUCGAAGGUGGGGCUGAUGACUGGGGUGAAGUCGUAACAAGGUAACC
rnacentral:rRNA from 1 species